rnacentral:rRNA from 1 species
GAUGAACGCUGGCGGCGUGCCUAAUACAUGCAAGUCGAGCGAACAGACGAGGAGCUUGCUCCUCUGACGUUAGCGGCGGACGGGUGAGUAACACGUGGAUAACCUACCUAUAAGACUGGGAUAACUUCGGGAAACCGGAGCUAAUACCGGAUAACAUGUUGAACCGCAUGGUUCAACAGUGAAAGACGGUCUUGCUGUCACUUAUAGAUGGAUCCGCGCCGCAUUAGCUAGUUGGUAAGGUAACGGCUUACCAAGGCAACGAUGCGUAGCCGACCUGAGAGGGUGAUCGGCCAGACUGGAAGUGAGACACGGUCCAGACUCCUACGGGAGGCAGCAGUAGGGAAUCUUCCGCAAUGGGCGAAAGCCUGACGGAGCAACGCCGCGUGAGUGAAGAAGGUCUUCGGAUCGUAAAACUCUGUUAUUAGGGAAGAACAAAUGUGUAAGUAACUAUGCACGUCUUGACGGUACCUAAUCAGAAAGCCACGGCUAACUACGUG